ACAUACACCUAACAUACCAUUAUAAACAUCCCAAAUCAUCUAACCAAUAUGCCAUUCAAAGGCAUAACAAUUAUACCAGAACAUCAACAACCAAAUCAAGUCAAUAUAACCAUACCUUAAGCACAAAACCUAGUUCAUUUAUCUAUCAAAAGACAUAUCAAAUGACCAUUUACAUGCCAUAUGCCAUCAAAAACAUACCAGAAGGGUCUUAUGUACAAGCACUUAAAAGUAACUAAAAUGACAUAAC
rnacentral:lncRNA from 1 species